AUGUUCCCGCGGCUGCUGGCUCCGUCGCGUGAGGGGAGAAGGUUUUCGGAUCGUAAACCUCUGUCAGGAGGGAAGAACCCCGUAGGGAAGAAUACGCCCUGCGGUUGACGGUACCUCCAGAGGAAGCACCGGCUAACUCCGUGCCAGCAGCCGCGGUAAUAG
rnacentral:rRNA from 1 species